GACGAACGCUGGCGGCGUGCUUAACACAUGCAAGUCGAACGGUGAAGCGCCUUCCUUUUUGGUGGGUGUGGAUGAGUGGCGAACGGGUGAGUAACACGUGAGUAACCUGCCCCCUUCUUCUGGAUAACCGCAUGAAAGUGUGGCUAAUACGGGAUAUUCUGGGUCUGUCGCAUGAUGGGUCUGGGAAAGAUAUUGUUUCGGUGGGGGAUGGGCUCGCGGCCUAUCAGCUUGUUGGUGGGGUGAUGGCCUACCAAGGCGGUGACGGGUAGCCGGCCUGAGAGGGUGGACGGUCACACUGGGACUGAGACACGGACCAGACUCCUACGGGAGGCAGCAGUGGGGAAUAUUGCACAAUGGGCGCAAGCCUGAUGCAGCGACGCCGCGUGAGGGAUGGAGGCCUUCGGGUUGUGAACCUCUUUCGCCAGUGGAGCAGGCCUGCCUCGUUUGUGGGUGGGUUGACGGUAGCUGGAUAAGAAGCGCCGGCUAACUACGUG
rnacentral:rRNA from 1 species